rnacentral:rRNA from 1 species
UGGGGAAUAUUGGACAAUGGGCGAAAGCCUGAUCCAGCCAUGCCGCGUGUGUGAAGAAGGUCUUCGGAUUGUAAAGCACUUUAAGUUGGGAGGAAGGGCAGUAAGCUAAUACCUUGCUGUUUUGACGUUACCGACAGAAUAAGCACCGGCUAACUCUGUGCCAA